rnacentral:piRNA from 1 species
CAGGAGGAGGAGAAUAUCUGUCCAGGAGC